UUUCUUGGCGCUUAAUACAAGCGCCAGGAAAGCUUUUUCCUGCAGCUUGUCCUACAAAUGUCAGGAAAAUUGCUUUAAUGGCACCUGAUUGCCGGCAUUUAUUAAACGCUAGGAAAACUUUUCUGGCGUUUAAAUGAUGUUUCCUGGCGUUUAAAAAACGCCUGGAAGAUCCGUUUUUUUUGUAGUGCAGAUCUGCUUGCCCAUCUUUGGGACUCCAUUGAAGCAGCACACCAAGUCACCAGUUGCGGAUACAAAUAUAGUACUAGCUGGGGUAUAGAGGUUAGUAACCAAAAAAUAUGGAAAACCCAAAUUGAGAGCUCAUAUUAACAUAUUUUUUGUGGCUCCAUUAUAUGUCACAAAGCAUUUAAAAGUUGUUGGAAGGUUUCUUUAAUGAAAAAUGCCAUAUACCAUACACUAAUAUCUCAUAAAUAUUUUAGGGUCUCAUAACUCAUGAAUCAACUCUUGUUAAAGAAAAUAAAAAUCAAUGAUUAUACUCCUUGUCACGACAGCAUAGUGAUAUACUUGUUAAAUAUUGAUGUGAUAUGUAUAACAUUACUCUUCUUUAAUUUUUGGGUAAGGCUUCUUUAAAUAGAGAGAACAUCAUAUCAUUUGUUGAUUGAACAAGAGUUUUUUUCAAUUUUAUAUACCACACUAAUAUUCAUAAAUAUCUUACUAUGCUAACAUGGCAGGGUGUAAUAGCUCAUGGAUUAGCCCUUGUUAAAAAAAUGAGUAAUGCUUGUUAUCCAUUUUUUUUUCAUCUUUACAUAUGUAGACAAAGAUGAGCCCUACAAAUGCAAAAUAAAGCUCUUUAAAAAAAAAAAAAUCACAUAUACAAAGAUGGAGGAAAAGAUGGACAACAAGCAUUACUCUAAAAAAAUAUAUACAUAUUCAAUGAUUUCUAUGUCCUGUCACGUCAAUAUAAUGAAAUAUUUAUGAAAUGAUGUGAUAUAUAGCAUUACUAUUCUUUAAUUUUUUUGGGUAAGGCUUCUUUAAAUAGAGAGAGCAUCAUAUCCAUAAAAUGAUUCUCCUGUAUGUGACAUAAAGUUGAAAACAAAGUUAAUGGAAAAAGGAUACAUUUAUAUCAUCCUUGUUGUUGAUCAUCAUUGUAUGUUAAAUACAAAAGUUGGUUCUUGUACAUCUUUAGUCAAACAAUGAGGUAAUGCUUAUAAAUCAAAAUAUUCCAAUAGAAACAAUUUGUUAAUGUUUUUUUCAUUCUAGUUUUUGUUUUCUAUUUUUAAAACGAAUAAUUAUAUAUGUUAACCCUUAUGUUUACUCUGUGUCUAUCAAAAUUGAUGUGCCUUCAUCCCUAUUUCACAUAGCGUUCCUUCGUAAUCUCUAAUCGCAAUUUAUGAUAUUUUUUGUCUUUAUAAUGGUACCCUUUGCUUUUACAUAUAUAUAUGGACAUGUUUUGUUUCCCUUGAUCUUUUCAUCUCGAUUGAAAUAAGAUUAUGAUAAACAUCAUUAUUAUCAUCAUAAUUAUUAUAAUUUUUUCUGUCUUUGGGUAUGCUCUCAUGUUUGUGGUCAUCCCAUUUCAGUUGGGCUGGAGAUAUGGAUCGAUGACAGAGGACCUGCUAACUAAGUUAACAAUCCAUAAAAGGUGUUGGAAGUCCAUCUAUUGCACGCCCGAUCCACUAGCCUUUUUAGGGUCUGCACCCUCGGGUGGGCCUGCUGCAAUGACCCAACAAAAGAGGUGAGUCACUAGCAUGCUUGAAAUUCUAUUCAGCAAAAAUUGUCCAAUAUUUGGCAAUUGGCACCCUCUUUGAGAAGCUCCAAUUCAGGCAAUGUUUAGCCUAUUUGUGGCUCCUCUCGUGGGGCAUACACUGUCCCCAAGCUAUGCUAUGCUACUCUUCCAGUCUAUUGAAUCAUCACCAACUCUCACUUAUUGCCCAAGGUGAGGACAAACCACAACCAUUCAAACCUUUAACAUUCUAUCUAUAUUUAUGUGACUCAAACUCUCUAUCAUAUAAUAUUUGUACAUGUUUUCUAAAGAAUUGUAAAGGGGUAAUUAUAAAUAUAAGUCUGGGCUGAAUGAACAGUCAUUCAGCCCAGACACAUGAACAGUGACUUUGUGGGCCUGUGAACAGUAAUUUUUUUUUUUUUUUUAUACCCUCAUUCCUGCCCAAGCUGAAUGACUGUUCAUUCAGCCUGGGCUUAUGCCAAUCAUGACUCAUUGUAAAGUAUACCCUUGUAUAGGGAUAAAUACUUUUAUAAUGAGAAUUAAAUAAUAACAAAAUGGAGAAAUAAAGCACAACAUAAUGAGGAGUAAAAUCACAAAUUAAAGUGGGAAUAAUUAGUGGGAUAUAAUAUUUUGUAACAGAAAAUUUAUGAAAAUAAUCAUUUCUUUAUUAAUUUUCUUAAAUCACCACUUAUCCUAAAAGCUUAAGCUAAUAGAAAAUAAUUGGUUUAAUCAUUUAAAUGAUAUUAUAACAAAUUUCUAUUAAAUACACCAAGUUAUGAUAGUAAUAGCAUGCUUUUAUUAUUAAGUGUACUUCUUUUUUUUUUGGGCGGGGGUAGUCACUUAUUAAUUAGUAAAUAGGAUCUAUUUCAUGGUCUAUAUGACAUUUUACAGUAUCCUAAUAGUGUAUACGGUGUCAUAUCAUUUUUUAAAAAAAAUUAAAUGAAGUGAAAAUGUAAGCAACAUAUACACUGUUUAAUGUGUGAAAUCUAAUCUGCACCAUGAAAUGGUUCCCCUUUAUUUAAAGUGAAAUUGAGAGCCUACCCCUUUUUUUACACUGUUGUUUUCGUGUUAGGUCUGUUGUUAGAGAGUCCAUCCAUUUUUCGGUUCUUUGUUGUUUUUGUUCAGGAUCUCUCACUCUUUCUUUCUUUCUUUCGGAUCAAAAGUGGUAAAGAUCCUUCCAUGUAACAUUUUCCCAAAUUCAAUUAUAAAAAAUAAAAAAUAAAAAAAUAAAAAAAGUGAAAUUAAGAGGAUCGUGCUCCCUAAGGCAAUAAAACCUUCAUUUGCUAGCUAUAUAUUCUAUUUAAGAAGGAAAUGCAAAUCAACCUAAGUUUUAGGUCCAGUCAACUAAUAACAUGACAAAAAAGGUAACUUGUGUAACUGAAAGCAUGCAUGUCUUUAUUUAUUUUUUCUAUUCAUGCCCAUAUAUAUGAUCGAGUUCUACCACACCAAAAUUAAUCCUGUUGCAUUUUACAAUCUCAAUUCUCAGUAGUAAAUUUUUGUCAUUUUGGAUAAUAUUAGUAGAAUCUGCAUCCAUGGUGAAGCACAUGAACAAUAACAUAUUCAAAAUCUUUUUCAUAGAUAUUAUUCUUUUUAAGAGCUUAUAAUAUGUGUUUGUAGGUUCAAGAACUAACAUUCUAUGUGCUAGUUGCUCUCUUUGUCAUUUACAACCUAUACACUUUAUCUAAGUACCUACAAACUCGCCAAUCUGUCCGAGCUUGGUGGAACAAUCAGAGAAUGGCAAGAAUUACCACCAUGAAUGCAUGGUUCUUUAGAUUUCUAAGUGUCAUGCUCAAGCUCUUAGGAAUAUCAGAGACAGUCUUUAAAGUGACAAAAAAAUACCAAUCUA
rnacentral:precursor_RNA from 1 species